rnacentral:tRNA from 1 species
GCCUGGGUGGCUCAGUCGGUUAAGCGUCUGACUUCGGCUCAGGUCAUGAUCUCGCGAUCCGUGAGUUCGAGCCCCGCGUCGGGCU